UACAGAGGUGCCAAGCGUUGUUCGGAUUUAUUGGGCGUAAAGGGUGCGUAGGCGGUUAUGUAAGUCGGAUGUGAAAUCCCGGUGCCUAACUCCGGAACGGCAUUCGAAACUGCAUGGCUCGAGGUCUGGAGAGGUGACUGGAAUUCUCGGUGUAGCAGUGAAAUGCGUAGAUAUCGAGAGGAACACCAGUGGCGAAAGCGAGUCACUGGACAGAACCUGACGCUGAGGCACGAAAGCUAGGGGAGCAAACGGG
rnacentral:rRNA from 1 species